rnacentral:piRNA from 1 species
UGACUGCAAGAACCUGACCUGGA